CCCUUAGACGUUCUGGGCCGCACGCGCGCUACACUGACCAGUGCAACAAGCAUCCGUCCUUGGCCGACAGGCCCGGGCAAUCUUUGAACGCUGGUCGUGAUGGGGAUAGACUUUUGCAAUUUUUGGUCUUCAACGAGGAAUUCCUAGUAAACGUGUGUCAUCAGCGCACAUUGAUUACGUCCCUGCCCUUUGUACACACCGCCCGUCGCACCUACCGAUUGAAUGGUUCAGUGAGUUGUAGGGACCGUGGCUGAGUCACCUUUAUUGGAGACACUGCUGUGGGAACUACUGCAAACUUCAUCAUUUAGAGGAAGGUGAAGUCGUAACA
rnacentral:rRNA from 1 species